UACGAAGGGUGCAAGCGUUACUCGGAAUUACUGGGCGUAAAGCGUGCGCAGGCGGUUAUGUAAGACAGUUGUGAAAUCCCCGGGCUCAACCUGGGAACUGCAUCUGUGACUGCAUAGCUAGAGUACGGUAGAGGGGGAUGGAAUUCCGCGUGUAGCAGUGAAAUGCGUAGAUAUGCGGAGGAACACCGAUGGCGAAGGCAGCCCCCUGGGCUAACACUGACGCUGAGGCACGAAAGCGUGGGGAGCAAACAGG
rnacentral:rRNA from 1 species